rnacentral:lncRNA from 1 species
GUUCAAUAUCUCAUUUCAGGGAAACAGCACUUCCAGGGCCAGCCACUCAGCAGCUCUGUUCUGAAUUUUCAGUGAAGAACCUGUCCCAAGUCUCCAUACUGAGCAUCAUAAGGAUGUAUAUUUUCUGGCCAAGUGGCAAUGAUGAGUUUUCAGAGAGGAUGACACUGAGGUUCUGGGACGACCUGUGUCUCACCCAAGGCUGCCUGGGUAAAGGGGAGCAGAAACAGGUAGAGGGAGCUGGUCUCCUGAAUCCGAUCCAGCCCCGUUUUCCUGCCAAGCCCUGGGAUGAGGACCUGAGACGCCUUCUCCCACCCACUGCUCUGCGCAUUGCACAGAAGAGCGGCUGCUGGUAAAGUUCUGGGAGUUCUGACACAUGCACGCCACAGAAACACAGGACUGGGGGUUGUCACCGCUAUCAACGUUAAUGACAAUAAAGGGAAAACAGCA